AGGGUGCGAGCGUUAUCCGGAAUUACUGGGUUUAAAGGGUGCGUAGGCGGCUUUGUAAGUCAGGAGUGAAAGUUUGCGGCUCAACCGUAAAAUUGCUUCUGAUACUGCAUGGCUAGAAUUAGGAUGAGGUCAGCGGAAUGUGGCAUGUAGCGGUGAAAUGCAUAGAUAUGCCAUAGAACACCAAUUGCGAAGGCAGCUGACUAGACCUGGAUUGACGCUGAGGCACGAAAGCGUGGGGAGCGAACAGG
rnacentral:rRNA from 1 species